rnacentral:rRNA from 1 species
GGAGUCUGGGCCGUAUCUCAGUCCCAGUGUGGCCGGACACCCUCUCAGGCCGGCUACCCGUCGUCGCCUUGGUGAGCCAUUACCUCACCAACUAGCUGAUAGGACACGAGCACCUCCCUUGGCGCCUUGCGGCUUUAACCUCUCGGCCUAUGGGGUAUUAGCGUCCGUUUCCAGACGUUGUCCCCCACCAAAGGACAGCUUCUCAUGUUGUACUCACCCGUCCGCUGCUCCGCUCGUACCUUCCAUGUCGCCACUUCAGAUACGUCGUCGCUCAACUUGCAUGUGUUACGCACGCCGCCAGCGUUCAUC